rfam:Myotis davidii contig89231, whole genome shotgun sequence.
GAGAUACCCUUAUGGUGCAGGACUUGCUUCAGUGGGGCUUUGGUGCUCACUGAGUCUGCACCUUCAGUGUGUCACU